CAGCUCCCCCCGCACAACGGCGGAGAGGUUGUUUAUGAGCGCUGGUCCUCGACACUCGUCCAGCUGCCUCCAGCUCAGGCUCGCCGAGUCUCUCACGGGUCCGGCUCUGGGGAGCUCCCCCGCUCUGGCCGGGGAGCCUGCUGUAACCCGCUUCCUCCCGGCCGUCGGAAGCGGAGCGGAUCACACACCCGUCACGAUCCUGUCCUGCCUCCAGAGACGGGAAGCGGCGUUUCUAGGGAAGGACGGCGCUCUGCUCUGCUCUGCUGCCGGAGCUGCCGCUUUCGCAGCGGCCAUAAGAUGCAGUAAAACAAUAGUCCCGGUAACUGCUCACCGUGCUCGGCUUCCAAGGAUUUCAUUUACAUUUGAAGCUCUCACACACUGAAUCCGACUCCAAGACAAGGCCCUUUAAGUGAGACCUUGUUUGUGCAGAGCUUUGGGCAAAGAGGCGCCACAACGAACAGGCGCUGUCCAUCGAGGUCACAGAGCAGGAUGACCCUACAGCAUAAAAGAUGAUCAGUCGCACACCUUCACGGCUUCAGUCACACAAUCAUCACCUGGGGCCAGACGCCAUGGAAGUGAAGAUCAUGACUCUUUUAAAGGAGUCAUUGAAACUGGAAGCAAGAUGCCCAUUUGGGACUCGGAUAUUGCUUUUCUUACCAACCAGUUGUGGGAGGGGGAUUCUACUAAAUGUCGGAAGAUGAAUCCUCCAAGAAGAGGGAAGAUGCAACAAAAAUAAGUAUUUUGGCUUCUCAAGACAGCCAGUAAAAUUACACCGCUUGCUGAUGAAUAUAUUAUUCCAGUGGCAUACUACAAGAUGUCUUGCGGACUGAACAGUUCAAAGCAUUUAACCGAGAACUUUCAAAAUAUCGCCUUACGCACGAGCUGGCAUUUAGGAACUUCUCCGUUCCAAUUCCUACUUCUAUGCAGUGUUUCUGCAAUCAACCACAUAACCUAUUCAGGCCUCACUUUCUCCUAUGUGAAACGGUUCUUUCCCAUGUCACAGGGGACUUGUGAAAACUGAUGGAUGUCUGCAAUGCAGUUGGAAUAUGAAAAGUGCUGGAUUAGAGCUAGGUCCUAUUGAACAUCUCAUAUUACAGAUGAAUAUGAUCCCCAGUUCCCAGAAGUAUGUAGAGGUGCUUCACAGAUCAAGUAAAAAGACUGCCUUCCUCUUGAACAGUUUGCAGUUUUGAUUCAGAUGUGCCAUAAACGGACAAAAUCAGACGAAAGGAGAAGGAAAGACAAAAAUACAACAGUACAAUCGUGCCAUAGUGACAUUCCUUACAUCAUAUGGCAAAUCACUGGCAGAUCCAGAAACAGACCCACAAAAAGCCUAGCCUUCUCUCCUCUAACCAUGAUCCUGACUUCCAGUCCUUCGGGAGGGUACAGCAAGCGUUCCCAGGGAGGACUGACUUGUUCUCCUGUUUUCUAAUUAACAGACCUCAGUAGUUCCCGCUGGAAAACUAAAGUUGUCCACAAGGCAGGCAUAGUCCUGCCUAUAGCAGGGAGAUGCCUUCUUCCACUACCACCAGACACCACCCAGUUUCCAUUCCACAAUGUAGAAGUAAUCAAACCCUGGAAGUGUUUUACCCAGGAUUCCUGAAAUGUAGCCCAAAAGGACAAUGCACAGGGCCCCUCGACUGCAUGCGAGCCUGCCUGACUUGCUAUCUGAUGUGUUAGGAUCAAAUUAGAUUCCAGAAAGAAGCUAUUACCUCCCCUCAUGUAAAUAUCCAUUCUUUCUUAAUAAAGUAUCUCAGGCAUUAA